rnacentral:rRNA from 1 species
GACGAACGCUGGCCGCGUGCCUUAAUACAUGCAAGUAGAACGCUGAAGGAGGAGCUUGCUUCUCUGGAUGAGUUGCGAACGGGUGAGUAACGCGUAGGUAACCUGCCUGGUAGCGGGGGAUAACUAUUGGAAACGAUAGCUAAUACCGCAUAAGAGUAGAUGUUGCAUGACAUUUGCUUAAAAGGUGCAAAUGCAUCACUACCAGAUGGACCUGCGUUGUAUUAGCUAGUUGGUGAGGUAACGGCUCACCAAGGCAACGAUACAUAGCCGACCUGAGAGGGUGAUCGGCCACACUGGGACUGAGACACGGCCCAGACUCCUACGGGAGGCAGCAGUAGGGAAUCUUCGGCAAUGGACGGAAGUCUGACCGAGCAACGCCGCGUGAGUGAAGAAGGUUUUCGGAUCGUAAAGCUCUGUUGUAAGAGAAGAACCAGUGUGAGAGUGGAAAGUUCACACUGUGACGUAUCUACCAGAAAG